rnacentral:rRNA from 1 species
UGGGGAAUUUUGGACAAUGGGCGAAAGCCUGAUCCAGCAAUGCCGCGUGUGUGAAGAAGGCCUUCGGGUUGUAAAGCACUUUUGUCCGGAAAGAAAAUCCUUGGCUCUAAUACAGUCGGGGGGAUGACGGUACCGGAAGAAUAAGCACCGGCUAACUACGUGCCAGCAGCCGCGGUAAUACGUAGGGUGCAAGCGUUAAUCGGAAUUACUGGGCGUAAAGCGUGCGCAGGCGGUUUGCUAAGACCGAUGUGAAAUCCCCGGGCUCAACCUUGGGAACUGCAUUGGUGACUGGCAGGCUAGAGUAUGGCAGAGGGGGGUAGAAUUCCACGUNUAGCAGUGAAAUGCGUAGAGAUGUGGAGGAAUACCGAUGGCGAAGGCAGCCCCCUGGGC